UGACGAGCGGCGGACGGGUGAGUAAUGUCUGGGGAUCUGCCUGAUGGAGGGGGAUAACUACUGGAAACGGUAGCUAAUACCGCAUAACGUCGCAAGACCAAAGAGGGGGACCUUCGGGCCUCUUGCCAUCGGAUGAACCCAGAUGGGAUUAGCUAGUAGGUGGGGUAAUGGCUCACCUAGGCGACGAUCCCUAGCUGGUCUGAGAGGAUGACCAGCCACACUGGAACUGAGACACGGUCCAG
rnacentral:rRNA from 1 species